rnacentral:lncRNA from 1 species
CUUGUGACUUAGUUAUAGUUUCAAAAUUAGUAUUCUUCUAAUGACUUUCUCUUUUCCUGUUGAACAUGUACAAUGGCUUGGGUCUGCUGAAAUUUUAAAGAACUUAGGCCCAAACUCAGUGUUGACAUAUCCCGGGAGCCCGGAGUUAGUUGUCAUCCCUGUUACUACUAGGCCAGCCUCUUUGAGGCCCAAACACCAAGGUCCUUUCUUUCCCUUUGCUCCUUUAUUUACUGCUUUCAUUAUUCUAUAGGCACAGUAUGUCGUUAUGAUCCAGAAGUUUCUUUGAUUCAAGCUUCUGAAAUGAUAGUUUUUUCUCCUGAUCCUGGAUCUUACAUAAGUUUGCUUAGCUGCAGAAGAGUCAACUUUUUAAUUAGGAAAAAAAGAAGGAAUUAAUCUGUUCAUUUAGUAAAAAUUAAACAUAUUGAUGACUGGGGAGAGAAAAUAACGUAGCAGGUACCUUGGUCACUAUGAGCAAUUGAGACCAUUAAGGUUAGGAAAAUGAACAACAGAACAAGAAAGAUACACUUGUUUGCCGCCAUGCAUGCUACGAAGAAUAUUAGUUUGUUUUGUUGGCCUAUAUAUAUCUACACUGUUAACUAACAGUUUCACUUUUCACGCAUUACCUUAUGUAUCAAUUUAAGGGUCUAGUUAGACUAGUUUUUUCAUUUAAAGUACUGUUACUUUCAAAGUGAGUUAAAAGCAUUUUUACUCCUUCACUACAAAUUCUAAGAAAUCGAGAAUCGAAGUCAUCUCAAAAUGAAGAAUGGCUAAAAUUUGACGAGCUUAUGUACAACUCAGUAAGUUUUGCAGUCAUGUGGCAUAUACACCAGAUUUGUGUGCAUAUGCACCAGACUUUUUGCAUUUGUUUUUUCCUUACAACUCUAUAUUGAAUUGCUUCAAUUUUACAGGUUUUAUACCAGCAAUUGUUGUUGAUUGUAGAUUCAAGUCUCAA